CAAACUGGGUUUAAUACCGUAUACGCCCUUCGGGGGAAAGAAUUUCGGUGAGGGAUCGGCCCGCGUUAGAUUAGUUAGUUGGUGGGGUAAUGGCCUACCAAGACUACGAUCUAUAGCUGGUUUGAGAGGAUGAUCAGCAACACUGGGACUGAGACACGGCCCAGACUCCUACGGGAGGCAGCAGUGGGGAAUCUUAGACAAUGGGGGCAACCCUGAUCUAGCGAUGCCGCGUGAGUGAUGAAGGCCUUAGGGUCGUAAAGCUCUUUCGCCUGUGAUGAUAAUGACAGUAGCAGGUAAAGAAACCCCGGCUAACUCCGUGCCAGCAGCCGCGGUAAUACGGAGGGGGUUAGCGUUGUUCGGAAUUACUGGGCGUAAAGCGCACGUAGGCGGAUUAGUCAGUCAGAGGUGAAAUCCCAGGGCUCAACCCUGGAACUGCCUUUGAUACUGCUAGUCUUGAGUUCGAGAGAGGUAAGUGGAAUUCCGAGUGUAGAGGUGAAAUUCGUAGAUAUUCGGAGGAACACCAGUGGCGAAGGCGGCUUACUGGCUCGAUACUGACGCUGAGGUGCGAAAGUGUGGGGAGCAAACAGGAUUAGAUACCCUGGUAGUCCACACCGUAAACGAUGAAUGCCAGUCGUCGGGUAGCAUGCUAUUCGGUGACACACCUAACGGAUUAAGCAUUCCGCCU
rnacentral:rRNA from 1 species